UACGUACCGUACGAACGUUAUUCGGAAUCACUGGGCUUAAAGAGUACGUAGGCGGCUUUGCAAGUUGGGUGUGAAAUCCCUCGGCUCAACCGAGGAACUGCGCCCAAAACUGCAAAGCUUGAGGGAGAUAGGGGUGAGCGGAACUGAUGGUGGAGCGGUGAAAUGCGUUGAUAUCAUCAGGAACACCGGUGGCGAAGGCGGCUCACUGGAUCUCUUCUGACGCUGAGGUACGAAAGCUAGGGGAGCGAACGGG
rnacentral:misc_RNA from 1 species